GACAGAGGGUGCAAACGUUGUUCGGAAUUACUGGGCGUAAAGCGCGUGUAGGCGGCAGGGCAUGUCGGAUGUGAAAUCCCGUGGCUCAACCACGGAAGUGCACCCGAAACUGCCCAGCUUGAGUCUCGGAGAGGAAGGCGGAAUGCUUGGUGUAGCGGUGAAAUGCGCAGAUAUCAGGAGGAACACCGGUGGUGUAGACGGCUCACUGGACCAUAACUGACGCUGAGACACGAAAGCGUGGGUAGCAAACAGG
rnacentral:rRNA from 1 species